UACUACUGUGCAUGUGGUGAGAAUAUUAGUAGGGUUAAAAACAGGAUAAAAGCAUAAACAUGUGAACUAAGGAUGGAACACUGAUGUAGACAGCGAAGAUUUAAAUCCAGGGAUCGUAUCAGCGCUGACUUCAUAAGACGGAAGUGUGUUCCAUUGUACAACUGUUCUUGGAAAGAAAAUUUGUGGUAAUCAGCUGUACUUGGUGGUUAUUGGUAUGCCAAGUGAUGGUGAUGGCGUGUGUGUCUAAUGUAUGGAGUGAGAUAGUGUAGGGGAUUGAUGUCAACAAGUACGAAAAUUUAGAAAUAAUAUUUUGAAGGUCACGAACAUAUGUGACAAAACAACAAAGUGUGGCCCAAGAUCUGUUAUGGCAGUAAGAAUAGAAAAUACUCAUUACUGGAACACUCUGUGUUCGACAAAAGAACUUCAUCAGUCAAGGGAAUGCCACAGUCUUCGGGGAAGAAAACAUGGCUACAUCUGGAGAGAGCUUAAAGAUCUUCUAUGACUGCAAAGCCCAUAUGGUCCUAUGAUGACUCAACAAUGGAUGACAAGGAAAACACAAGAACACCUUUUUAAGACGAGGUCCACUUUUGAGAACUUUGACUGGAAAUCAUAGUGCUUCAUUUGUGGCGAAAAGUGCAGCCGUCAUUGAGACAAUACAUCAAGAGGUUUUAGUAGAAGUUGGUCCCUAGGGCCAAACAAAUAAAAUUGUGUGUUUUGGGAAACGGCUGAAAAAAAUUAGGUAGGGUAGGUAUUUUUUUCUGGUCUUUGCGAUGGCUUACAUGCUUUUGCAAUGGGAAUAUCCGGAAAAAAACAUCGUACCGAAGUAUGCGCGUCCUAGAAAUUGGACCAUAUUCCGUUUCUUGUUGAAUUAUCAAAUGCGCAUAAUUAAAUUUGUAAUCCGAAACACUCUACCCUAUUUAAUUUUUACUCGACGUUAUCACAUUCCUCAAACAAACUGUAAAUGUACAGUGUGUUUUAAUCUUUUCUCUCGAGAAAAGCGCGCGCAAAUUAUUCCCUACAUGAACAACGUCACGUCAAACGCAUGGAACGCGUGCGUGCAUUAAAUUUCCGUUUAAUGUUCCUUUGUAAAUUUUAGCAGAAUGAUAUAGCGAAUGAUUUGGAAUUUGACAUUUCCUCAAAAUUAAUUGCAAAUCAAACACAAUGUAUAUUUAUCGUUACGGACGUUUACAUAAGUCACCAUUGAAACAGUUAUUGUACCGUAUACUGGUGCAACAGAAAAUCCAGACGAAACUGGAUUAAGUGUUGGGUGUUGUCAAAACGAAUCCCGGAAUAAACCCCCUUCGGAAGAAACACCCUUCCCUAAAAACGAGCAUAGCGGAAGAAACCCCCUUUCACAUUUUGCAUAAACGGAAGAAACACCCUUCCAUAGCGGAACAAACCCCCUUCCAGUUUUCAGACAGGCGGAUUAAACCCCCCUUCAUAACUGUUAUUUAAACUGUUCGAAAAACAUUGACACGUAAUUCGAUUCACAAUUUUCCUGUUUGAAGCAAUAAUAAACAUUUUGUACAUUACAUGCUCACAUUAGUAUCACUACAUUAUAUAUAUAUAUAAACCAUGUUUCAUGUUUUAGUUGUAAACGUAUACCAGGCCACUUUUAUCUACUGAAAAGCAUUUAGAAAAUCAAAAUAUGGAAAAAAAUAGUGGUUGAUGUAUAACAACAAACACAAAUAACACUAUUAAAAAGUCUUAUAAGCGGUACGUUGACCUUAUCUUGUGUCAAUUUUAUAGAUCUAUAUGUGGGCUUUUAUUUGCUAAUUAUAAAUAAAAAAAAAAAAAAAAAAAAGCAGAUUGACAUAAUUAUACACCGAAGUUUGACAGGGAGUUAUGUAGGAGUCACGCUGUUGGGCGGUCGGUCGAUUGGUUGGUCGGAUGAUGGGUUUGUUUGUUUGUCCGAAUCAAAUGUUUUAAGUUUGUUGAGCGACUUCAUUUUUCAAGCUAUUGAAUCGAAACUUGGAAUAUGUAAUCCCCUUUAAAGUGAAGAUGUGCAAGACACUUUCAUGAGCAGUGAUCCACACGUUCUUGAGUUAUUUAGCCUUGAUAGUGAACCUAUUAUGGCAAAGGUAUACCAUUUUCUCCGUUUGUGAAGUGAUCUUUUUCCAUAUUUCUCAAGCGAUAGAAUUGAAACUUGAAAUAUGGCAAUAACAUGAAGUGUAUGAUGUUCAAGACACAAUUUUGUUUGCUGUUUCAAUGUGGUGAGAGGGUAUGUUAAGUCAUGGCUGUAGUUUAAGUACGUAAAAUGCAUCACGUAUA